AGCAAGCGAAUCAGAAAGACUGUGGCCUCUCUCAUGCAACUUCGCCAAGGACCAAAUGAAACCCUACGAGGAUUUAUGACGAGGUUUAACAAAGAAAGGCUUCAAAUACCCGACCUUCAUAUCACAGCGGCUGUCUCCGCCCUCACUUACGCCAUAAGAUGUAAAGCUUUCAAGAUAUCCUUAUCAAAGACCCCGUCGCAGACAGUGACCGAGCUCCUCACCCGAGCUGAAAAAUACAUUAAUAUGGAGGAAACACUAAUCCAAGGAGAUCUGGUCCUUCCCAUGAAAAGGCCGAAAACAAAAAGCAACAUGAUCCCAUUUCCCGGCCAGAGUAUCCUUGGGAAAAGCACAAGAAUGAAGGUCCAUCAGGGCCUCUCACCCGAUUAAACACCUCCAAGGCA
rnacentral:lncRNA from 1 species